rnacentral:rRNA from 1 species
GUGGGGAAUAUUGGACAAUGGGCGAAAGCCUGAUCCAGCCAUGCCGCGUGUGUGAAGAAGGUCUUCGGAUUGUAAAGCACUUUAAGUUGGGAGGAAGGGCAGUAAGUUAAUACCUUGUUGUUUUGACGUUACCGACAGAAUAAGCACCGGCUAACUUCGUGCCAGCAGCCGCGGUAAUACGAAGGGUGCAAGCGUUAAUCGGAAUUACUGGGCGUAAAGCGCGCGUAGGUGGUUUUGUAAGUUGGAGGUGAAAUCCCCGGGCUCAACCUGGGAACUGCCUCCAAAACUGCAUGACUAGAGUACGGUAGAGGGUAGUGGAAUUUCCUGUGUAGCGGUGAAAUGCGUAGAUAUAGGAAGGAACACCAGUGGCGAAGGCGACUACCUGGACUGAUACUGACACUGAGGUGCGAAAGCGUGGGGAGCAAACAGGAUUAGAUACCCCGGUAGUCC